rnacentral:rRNA from 1 species
AACGAACGCUGGCGGCAGGCCUAACACAUGCAAGUCGAGCGAACCCUUCGGGGUUAGCGGCGGACGGGUGAGUAACGCGUGGGAACGUGCCCUUUGCUACGGAAUAGCCCCGGGAAACUGGGAGUAAUACCGUAUGUGCCCUUCGGGGAAAGAUUUAUCGGCAAAGGAUCGGCCCGCGUUGGAUUAGGUAGUUGGUGGGGUAAUGGCCUACCAAGCGGACGAUCCAUAGCUGGUUUGAGAGGAUGAUCAGCCACACUGGGACUGAGACACGGCCCAGACUCCUACGGGAGGCAGCAGUGGGGAAUCUUAGACAAUGGGCGCAAGCCUGAUCUAGCCAUGCCGCGUGAUCGAUGAAGGCCUUAGGGUUGUAAAGAUCUUUCAGUGGGGAAGAUAAUGACUGUACCCACAGAAGAAGCCCCGGCUAACUCCGUG